GGUAAGGCACCUUGUAGAAGACGAGGUAGAUAGGCCGGGGGUGUAAGAGCGGAAACGCUUUUAGCUGACCGGUACUAAUAAGCCGAGGACUUGACCCUGA
rnacentral:rRNA from 1 species